rnacentral:piRNA from 1 species
CAGUAAACAAAUGUCGAUUAAAUGGAAC